rnacentral:rRNA from 1 species
UACGAAGGGGGCUAGCGUUGCUCGGAAUUACUGGGCGUAAAGGGCGCGUAGGCGGACAGUUUAGUCAGAGGUGAAAGCCCAGGGCUCAACCUUGGAACUGCCUUUGAUACUGACUGUCUUGAGUACGGGAGAGGUGUGUGGAACUCCGAGUGUAGAGGUGAAAUGCGCAGAUAUCGGGAAGAACACCCGUGGCGAAGGCGGCUCUCUGGGACGGUACUGACGCUGAGACGCGAAAGCGUGGGGAGCGAACAGG